ACGAACGCUGGCGGCGUGCUUAACACAUGCAAGUCGAACGGAAAGGCCCUGCUUUUGUGGGGUGCUCGAGUGGCGAACGGGUGAGUAACACGUGAGUAACCUGCCCUUGACUUUGGGAUAACUUCAGGAAACUGGGGCUAAUACCGGAUAGGAGCUCCUGCUGCAUGGUGGGGGUUGGAAAGUUUCGGCGGUGGGGGAUGGACUCGCGGCUUAUCAGCUUGUUGGUGGGGUAGUGGCUUACCAAGGCUUUGACGGGUAGCCGGCCUGAGAGGGUGACCGGCCACAUUGGGACUGAGAUACGGCCCAGACUCCUACGGGAGGCAGCAGUGGGGAAUAUUGCACAAUGGGCGGAAGCCUGAUGCAGCAACGCCGCGUGCGGGAUGACGGCCUUCGGGUUGUAAACCGCUUUCGCCUGUGACGAAGCGUGAGUGACGGUAAUGGGUAAAGAAGCACCGGCUAACUACGUG
rnacentral:rRNA from 1 species